ensembl:lncRNA
GUUCUCACAGGGUUCUCCGUGUGUUACAGGGUUCUCCGUGUUUAACAGGUUCUCCAGUGUUACAGGGUUCUCACCGGUUGCAGGGUUCUCCGAGUGUUUACAGGGUUCUCACCGUGUUGCAGGGUUCUCACUGUGAUACAGGGUUCUCCGAGUGUUACAGGGGUCUCAGUGUGAUACAGGGUUCUCCGAGUGUUACAGGGUUCUCACCGUGUUGCAGGGUUCUCCGUGUUUAACAGGGUUCUGCGAGUGUGUGUGAGUGUUAUCUGUGUCAUUUUGUGCGGUGUUGAUGUAUAAUCUGAGAUCUUUUUGUUUGUUGUUGGUUUGUAGGAUUUUACGGAGAUUAAACGCAGGUGCAGACAAACUUUCCCCCAAAUCCCCUCAGCGCUGCUGCUUUAGUCGAGAUCACAGCGGCGCUGCGACGCUUCUGAUCUCCGCUCAGGCGUAAACACUCGUCACACUUCAGCACCGCCACCAAGCCUUACACCUGCUGAUCGCCAGCGCUGUGCGCAGCGGUCAUGAGCACGCCCAGCCUCUCCUUCAUCGAACUGUCAUCGCGAGUCCUCCGCAGGAGCGUUUGUUCCUGAUCCCGCGACUCUGUGUAAGUUCCCGUACACGGAGACUCACUAACGUGACCCUCGGCUGAUGGUGUAACUGUCCGUGAGUUUCCGUGGCGUUCUAUACGGGUCACGCCGUCACGUUUAAAUCGCUCCUUCAUUUCAAUCACACAACGAGUCAAUAAUCAUCUCAUCACCGUCAGUUAAUCACCUGACAUUCCAAACGCGAUUCCAAACAAAUCCAUCCAUUUACAAAUAACAAACAACCCUAGCCCUUCCACUAGGACAAAGUAU